CUCAGGGGGAACUGAGGCCCAGGCAGUACAUGUGACUGCAAGUGAGCUGCCCUGAGUCAGUGGGUGAGGGGAGAAAAGGCCAUCCCCAGCUCCUGUGUCAUCACGUGAUCCCAGAGCAUAGCAAACUGGCUUGUUUUGCAACCCAGGCAGGCCCUUUAACCACAAGCCUGCUGGCUGGGCCCAUGUGGGGGGGGGAUGAUGCCAACCCUCUUCCCUCGAUGAGUCAUGCUUCUUCCCGCAAUAGCUGGGGGAGGAUGUGGAGGAGCUGGGCUCUGGGGUAGAGGCUACUGCCCAUAGGCCCUGCCAGGCUGGGUGCCCUGAAGGGUGAUGGGCCCCAGGGACCCGCAGGGAAGUCCCUGAUGUGGCUGCCGCUCUCAGAUGUAGAUUAACACAACCACGGACAUCUGCUUAGACCACCACAGCUAGUGCCUGUGUGCUGAUGGUGAGGAGCGGGAACUUUCAGGGGCUUCCAAUGAACCCUGAGUAAUGCAUAUUCUGUCCACAGCAUGUGCUCAGGCAUCAGGAUAACUUACAAGGCAGGGAUUGCUGGCCCUGUGGUAUAGAUGGGGACACUGGGCCUCAAUAGAGGUGGGCACAGUGAAGCGCAUAGAGUGAAAUGACUAUCUAACCACACAGCUAGCAAGAGGAGGCUGAACUUCAAAAUCCUUGCCCAGGGGCUUGCAUCUGAAGGAAGUAAUGGACAUAUGACUAAAUUCUUAGCUCUGGAUCUUAAAUGGUAAUUUCCCCAGAAAGGGUUGUGAUGUGUAUAUUCAUUGCACAGAUGAACGACCUCGAUUCAAAAGGUAAGAUGACUUGGCGAAGACUUCUCAGAAGACGAUGACAGAGCAAUUUGUGAAACUCCUCCAUGUCACCCCCUUAGAGUGACACAUUUUGUUACUGGGUUUUCUGCUAAAUCUCAGGGUGAACGCUUGGUGAACCCUGAGGUUUUUCCGGGCCUGGUGAAAUCCUCACCAAACUUUUCUGACCAAAGAAAGUUGUAUUAAAGAAAAUUGUAUUAAUAUAGUAUUAAUAUUGUAAUAAUAAUACUUAUGUUAAUGGUAGCUAGCAUUUAUGCCAUUAACUUUCCAAUCCUUCAGAGCAGAGAUCUGCAGUCUAUAGCCCACAGGCCAAUCCUGCUUUGUAAAAAAGGUUUUAUUGGAACACAGCCAUGCCAAUUUGUUUACAUAUGUCUGUAUCUGCUUUCUUGCUGCCAUGGCAGAAUUGAGUAGAUGUGACUAAUAAAAUGUAUAGUCCUCAGAACCCAAAAUAUUCACUAUCUGGCCCCUGGCAGAUAAGGUUUGCCAAUCUCUACUUUAUGUUCAUUAUUGUGACAUGAUAUAUUAUUACUAUCUCCAUUUUACAGAUAAAGAAACUAAGGUUCAGAGAGGACCUUCAAGCAAUUUGCUUGAAGUUUCAGAGAGACUGGAACUCAGAGAUUCCGUCUUCCAAACCUGUGAUGUUUCUUUGUAUGCUCUCCUGGAAGUGCCAGUGCCAGUCCAACUUUGAGGGAGAAGGCAGGAGACUGAUUCCUCAUAGAUUCCAGAACCCCCAAAACAGAAUACUUCAGUAGCAUUUUGUUUUUGGGAAAAUGCUCUGAUUAUUUAUUGUUACAUAAAGGUAACCCCUAAUGGGUAAUGGAAAACAAUAGUAAUCAUCUACUUUGCUCCCAAAUGUGCAAUCUGAGCAUGGUUUGGAAGGAACAGCUGUCCUCCACACAACACCAGCUGAGGAUCCACUUCCGAGAUGACUCGCACACGUGGCUGAUGCUUCCAGAAUACACCUGGAGGAAGGUAUCAACAUGAUCCUGACUCUUCUGACCCAGCCAUGCACAGCCAUUGGCCCUGGGCACUCCAGCCUGUUUUCAGAAGUCCCAGUUCUCCCUGACUCCUCGCAGCCUUGCUCCCUACUACGACUCGUUUUGCUCGUAGGCUCACAGCACAGUGAGUCGUAACCCAGGAGUCUCUUGGAGUCUCCAGUUGUGAAACUGAAAGAUGUUCAUUCAAUUUUCCAAUUGUUAUUAUUGCAUCACUGCAAAAUGUAUGUUUAUUUCAUAUGAAGCCUCUUUAUUCAUCUGUAAAUUAAUAUAAUGCAUUUUUAGUUAAUUAUCUUGUGGUUUGAGGUAGACACUCAUAUCAUGAACAAAUUCAUAAUUUUGUUUUUUCUUUAAUAAUAGUUUCACUUCAAUUUUUUCUUGCCUUAUUGCUUUGACUAGAAUUUCUAGAGCAAUUAUUAGUGCCAAUGUUUUAAGGGACAUUCUCGUCUUGUUCUUUUUUUUAAUAGCAGUGUUAUUUAUACAUUGCCACCAAGUAUGAAAUGACUACCAUUUUGAGAUACAUACUUAAAUCGUGCUGUUUUAGGCUCAGAUCUUCUUAUUCCUUAUGUUCUAUAAAUUGUUUUAAAAGAAUGGGCAUCAAAUUUACCAAUUACUUCCUCAUAUUUAUCAAGAUGAUUGCAUUUUAGUUGACCUGCUGCAUAUAUUCGUAAUGUUUUCCCUAGCAUUAAAUAAUCUCUUUAGUACUGAAUGUAAAUAACUAUGUUUUUGUAUUUCAAUGAAUUAGAUUUGCUGGUGUGCUUUGAGAAUUUCUGCAACAAUCUUUAAAAGCAAUAUUGAUGUAUAGUUCUGAUAUUAAUAUAGUACAUGCACCCUGAAAUAAAAGAAAAUACAUCAAACCGUUGGAGACAGCUUUGCAAACAAACUGCUACAAAUAUGUUACAGUUAAAAAUAAAAAAAUAUAGAUUAUAAAAAGAAAAAAAAUAGGGUAAAACCCAGGGCUGAUAAGGAUAUGGCACAAGAUGGACUCUUACGCAUUGCUGAUAGGCCUAUUAAAAGUCUAAUAAAACAGUGAUUUGACAAUGUAUUUAAUGAGUGAUAAAAAGUUAAUAGACUUUGCCCUAGUUUUUCUAUACCUUGGAAUUUAUCCUAAGGAAAUAAUCAGGGUUCCACACACACACAGAUUAUGUGCAAAGAUUUUCAUGCAUAGUAUUAUUUGUAAGUGAACAGUUAAACAAAAUGUAAAUGUCAAAUAUUAGAAGAACUGAUGACAGCACCUCCAUAUGAUGGAAUACUUUAUAAACACUAAAGGCAUGUUUGAGGAUAUGAAAUAAAGUUUAAAG